GGGGGUGUAGCUCAGUUGGCUAGAGCACCUGCUUUGCAAGCAGGGGGCCGUGGGUUCGAGUCCCAUCACCUCCA
rnacentral:tRNA from 1 species